GGCAACGGAGGCCCAUCGCGAGCUGCGCCUUCUUUGUACUUUCUGUUCCAAUGCCUGCCUGGAGUUUCCUCGGGUUGUCGCAAUUCUGCUUACAUUUCCAAAGCCCUUUCUUUCUGUGCCUCACAGUGUCCCGGGAGUGCUGGGCCCGGGCACCGUGCGUAUAAAGUGUCAGGGAAGCAAGGGUGGAUGGGGGUGGCUGGCUUGGGUUUGAGGUCAUUUUCUUUAUUUCUUUUUUUUUUCAAAUUUCUUUCUUUAUUAAAGUCCUUGGCCUUAAUUUCAUGGAAAACACCCAUCCAUAACCGUUCCUUCCAUUUCUUUACCACGUUGUUCCCCCAGCUCUGGCUCUCCUCCCAUCUCACCUCCCUUUACAUGGUGCUGUUCUCUUUUUAGAAUCUAAGCUCUUUGAGGUCAGGCACUGCCUUAUUUACUGUUCCUGGAAGCCCCUGUGCUCUGGCCUUAGUCGGCCUCGUUUCCUCCAGCACAUUGCUUCCCUUCACAGCCAUCGUGCAGCUGUGUAGUCUUUCCCCGUGAGCUCUAAACAUGUUUUGGCACUGCCUGCUGACUGACAGUUUCCUUUGAGCCCCUCAGCUCAGCGUCUCUGUCCCUCCCCCUUUCCCUUCCGUGGCCACCAUCUAUUACCGGAUGCCUCAUCCUGGAAAGGCGGCCACUCUUGGUUUGAUAAAGUUAUAUCCGCCAAAGCUGAGCUCUGACAAGUGUUGCAAUGAUAUUGGAAGAGCUUCUGGGGAGGGACGAGGUCCAGCCAUGGACAACGUCUAGUGCCCAAGAACCGGGCUGCCUCAUUGCUUUAAGGUUGCCCCUCCCCCAUGCCCCAUGGUGUUCCGUGGUGUGGCGGGAGCUUCCGGAAGCCUGUGUGUCCCCAGCGACCGCCCAUCCCCCAUUGUUCCGGCACUCAUGCAAACCCUGCUAAGUGGUGCCGCCUUGUGGCUGAAGGGAAGAAUCUGAAGAGGAUCCAGGUGGAGACACACCUUUCUUGAUGGUGAUGAGAUUUUGAUCCAGAGCAUUGUGGAGAAUGGAGAGAAACCCCCAGUCUGCAUGCUGUGUAUUUAUCAAGCCUUCCACGGGUAGCUUUCGUAUUGCUGUGCAUGUCAGUUUUUAGUUAAAGACUGGUUGAUUAAAUUAAAUUCCUGAAGUUGCAAAGUAUGUAAGAAGACCCCUUCUCUCUUGAGUACAGCUUUCGGAAGUUUCCCAUUGCAUAAGGCAGGUAUCAUUUAAAAAGACCAGGGUCCUGUUGUCACAGGUGAGGAUGCUCCACUAAGCCUGGAGUGGAGUGCAGGGUGCUGAGUGUGGAAUGCUGCCUUCUCAGGGCCCUCAGUGCCUCCCUCCCUCCUUCAGUGUUAGCUGGGAGACUUUGGGGAAAUGGAUGUGAUUUCCAUGAGUAAGUGAGUACUUAUGUUAAUCAUUACUCUCAGAGAGAUUCCUUUGGCCUGGACUCUCAGCACUUUAUCUUGUGAAAUCAGCCUGUUAGCUCUGCCCCUUAACAUGUAUAUUUAUGCUUUUAGGCUGCCGAGAAACCUAAAAGGCACCUGAGCCUGAAUCCCAUGAAAUGAGUUGAACUUUGAGUGUAUGAGCUGCAGUUUCAUUAUAAAAGGCUUUUGAAGAUUUAAAUUUUGAAGAUGUCAACACCCCCAGUAGUUGCCAGUUCCAAUCUGGAGAGAUCCUCCCUCCCAGGAUGGAUGGAUGGAUGGAUGGAUGAAUGGAUGAAUGAAAGGAUGGAUAGAUGUUCCCUUGCCCUUCCCCUACAUCAAGAGGGUCCCCUAAGAGGUUGCUUGUGUUUUCUCCCAGAGAAGGAAAUCUCAAAUAGUUGGAAAGCAACCUUUAAAGGGCAAUUUUUUCCCUCCCAGGCCCGACAUUGUAGGACUUACUUUUUGCUUGUGGAGGAGAGAAGAGGCAGUCUCCCUACAGCACUAAAGCUGCCAAGGCUCCUGAGCCACUUGUCUGUUGUGUCUUGAUAAAUGAAACCUUCAUGAAGCUGUAAACACAACUCAACAACAUUCCUUGGGGAAGAAAGAAGCCGGAGUCCUAAAGUGUACUCAGCUCACAGUUUUAGGUGCUGGAAGGAUAUCUAACUAGAGAUAUCCAACGAACAGUUGGCAAUGCAAGACCGAAACUCAGGGGAGGAGAGCGGAAGCCACCACAUUUGAACUCUAGUAUAACCUUUUCCAAAAUGUUGCAUGAGAAAAUACAAAUGGCACAUAGAAAAAUGAAAAUGGAGAAAGCAGAUGGAUUAGAUCACGUACCCAAAGAAAAAGAUCCUCCUAGAAAACAAGCACUGAAUUCAGCACAGUACAACCUGCAACUAAUAUAUGCUGAUAGGUUAUCAGCUUUUACUAUCAGGAAUUCUUCCCAGUGAUAUCAAAAAUGAAGCCAGGAUAAAGUACAGAUGCUAAUUAGGACUUUGAUAUAUCCGCCUCCUCAAUAAAGGGAAUAAGACCAACUCUCUAAGUGAUCUCUUCAACCUAUCUAAAUGAUACUGAGAAAGAACAUGGCAUAGAGUCAGAAGCUCUGAGGUUGAAUCCAGAAGUGAACAAAUUCAUCACAAUUGAUCAAUACACUAAUAAAAUAAUGUUAUAUGUUUUGCUCUACAUACAUGGAUCUUCUCUCUACCUCAUUCCCACCUCUGCAAAGAAGUAGGGUCACUGAAAUCCAGUGGCAAGCCAAAAGUCAAGAUGUCCUGGGAUGCAGCACUCCACAGUGCCUCCUUCAACCACCGUAAAGGCCAUUGGAACAAAUUUUCUCAUGGGCCCAUUCUGCCAGUAGAAGUCCUCACAUAGUAAAGAAGAUGAGAAAUCAUGGAAUAAAGUAGAAUCCUACCUGGCAGAACCUUUGCCCACUUGACUACUUGAAUCAUCUGCU